GUGGGGAAUCUUAGACAAUGGGGGCAACCCUGAUCUAGCCAUGCCGCGUGAUCGAUGAAGGCCUUAGGGUUGUAAAGAUCUUUCAGCUGGGAAGAUAAUGACGGUACCAGCAGAAGAAGCCCCGGCUAACUCCGUGCCAGCAGCCGCGGUACUACGGAGGGGGCUAGCGUUGUUCGGAAUUACUGGGCGUAAAGCGCGCGUAGGCGGACCAGAAAGUUGGAGGUGAAAUCCCAGGGCUCAACCUUGGAACUGCCUUCAAAACUCCUGGUCUGGAGUUCGAGAGAGGUGAGUGGAAUUCCGAGUGUAGAGGUGAAAUUCGUAGAUAUUCGGAGGAACACCAGUGGCGAAGGCGGCUCACUGGCUCGAUACUGACGCUGAGGUGCGAAAGCGUGGGGAGCAAACAGGAUUAGAAACCCCGGUAGUCC
rnacentral:rRNA from 1 species